AACGUACGCUGGCGGCACGCCUAACACAUGCAAGUCGAACGAAGUAGCAAUACUUAGUGGCAGACGGGUGAGUAACAUGUAGGUAUCUGCCCUUUGGCCUGGAAUAACACGAGGAAACUUGUGCUAAUACCGGAUAAGUCUUUACGGAGAAAGCUUUAUGCACCAUUGGAUGAGCCUGCACUUGAUUAGUUUGUUGGUGGGGUAAUGGCCUACCAAGACUGUGAUCAAUAGCUGAUUUGAGAGGAUGAUCAGCCACAUUGGGACUGAGACACGGCACAAACUCCUACGGGAGGCAGCAGUGGGGAAUCUUGCACAAUGGAGGAAACUCUGAUGCAGCGAUGCCGCGUGAGUGAAGAAGGCCCUUGGGUUGUAAAGCUCUUUCGUCGGGGAAGAAAAUGACUGUACCCGAAUAAGAAGGUCCGGCUAACUUCGUGCCAGCAGCCGCGGUAAUACGAAGGGACCUAGCGUAGUUCGGAAUUACUGGGCUUAAGGAGUUCGUAGGUGGUUGAAAAAGUUAGUGGUGAAAUCCCAGAGCUUAACUCUGGAACUGCCAUUAAAACUUUUCAGCUAGAGUAUGAUAGAGGAAAGCAGAAUUUCUAGUGUAGAGGUGAAAUUCGUAGAUAUUAGAAAGAAUACCAAUUGCGAAGGCAGCUUUCUGGAUCAUUACUGACACUGAGGAACGAAAGCAUGGGUAGCGAAGAGGAUUAGAUACCCUCGUAGUCCAUGCCGUAAACGAUGUGUGUUAGACGUUGGAAAUUUAUUUUCAGUGUCGCAGGGAAACCGAUAAACACACCGCCUGGGGAGUACGACCGCAAGGUUAAAACUCAAAUGAAUUGACGGGGACCCGCACAAGUAGUGGAGCAUGUGGUUAAUUCGAAGAUACGCGCAGAACCUUACCAACACUUGACAUGUUCGUCGCGACUCUAAGAGAUUAGAGUUUUCGGUUCGGCCGGACGAAACACAGGUGCUGCAUGGCUGUCGUCAGCUCGUGUCGUGAGAUGUUGGGUUAAGUCCCGCAACGAGCGCAACCCUCACUUUUAGUUGCCAUCAUUAAGUUGGGCACUCUGAAAGAACUGCCAGUGAUAAGCUGGAGGAAGGUGGGGAUGACGUCAAGUCCUCAUGGCCCUUACGUGUUGGGCUACACACGUGCUACAAUGGUAUCUACAACAGGAAGCAAGACUGCGAAGUUAAGCAAAUCCCUAAAAGAUACUUCAGUUCGGAUUGCACUCUGCAACUCGAGUGCAUGAAGCUGGAAUUACUAGUAAUCGUGGAUCAGCGUGCCCACGGUGAAUGCGUUCCCGGGUCU
rnacentral:rRNA from 1 species